rnacentral:misc_RNA from 1 species
GAUGAAGAACGUAGCGAAAUGCGAUAAGUAAUGUGAAUUGCAGAAUUCAGUGAAUCAUCGAAUCUUUGAACGCACCUUGCGCCCUUUGGCCAUUCCGAAGGGCAUGCCUGUUUGAGUAUCAUGAACACCUCAACUCUUUAUGGUUUUCCAUGAUGAGCUUGGACUCUGGGGGUUUUGCUGGCUCACAGUCGGCUCCUCUAAAAUGAAUCAGCUUACCAGUGUUUGGUGGGUAUCAUGGGUGUGAUAACUAUCUACGCUUGUGGUUUUUCCACCAGGUAACCUUCAGCAGUGGAGGUUCGCUGGAGCUCAUAGAUGUCUCUCCUCAGUGAGGACACCCCUUUGAAUGUUUGAUCUCAAAUCAGGUAGGACUACCCGCUGAACUUAAGCAUAUCAAUAAGCGGAGGA